GGGCUCACAUGCAAUCGAACGGUAACAGAAAGCAGCUUGCUCUUUGCUGACGAGUGGCGGACGGGUGAGUAAUGUCUGGGAAACUGCCUGAUGGAGGGGGAUAACUACUGGAAACGGUAGCUAAUACCGCAUAACGUCGCAAGACCAAAGAGGGGGACCUUAGGGCCUCUUGCCAUCGGAUGUGCCCAGAUGGGAUUAGCUAGUAGGUGGGGUAAAGGCUCACCUAGGCGACGAUCCCUAGCUGGUCUGAGAGGAUGACCAGCCACACUGGAACUGAGACACGGUCCAGACUCCUACGGGAGGCAGCAGUGGGGAAUAUUGCACAAUGGGCGCAAGCCUGAUGCAGCCAUGCCGCGUGUAUGAAGAAGGCCUUCGGGUUGUAAAGUACUUUCAGCGGGGAGGAAGGGAGUAAAGUUAAUACCUUUGCUCAUUGACGUUACCCGCAGAAGAAGCACCGGCUAACUCCGUGCCAGCAGCCGCGGUAAUACGGAGGGUGCAAGCGUUAAUCGGAAUUACUGGGCGUAAAGCGCACGCAGGCGGUUUGUUAAGUCAGAUGUGAAAUCCCCGGGCUCAACCUGGGAACUGCAUCUGAUACUGGCAAGCUUGAGUCUCGUAGAGGGGGGUAGAAUUCCAGGUGUAGCGGUGAAAUGCGUAGAGAUCUGGAGAAUACCGGUGCGAAGGCGGCCCCCUGGACGAAGACUGACGCUCAUGUGCGAAAGCGUGGGGAGCAAACGCGAUUAGAUACCCUGGUAGUCCACGCCGUAAACGAUGUCUACUUGGAGUUGUGCCCUUGAAGCCUGGCUUCCGGAGCUCGCUUGAAUC
rnacentral:rRNA from 1 species